GUUUGAGUGUGUCAAGAACUGUAACAUUUCUGGGUUUUUCACAUUCAACAGUUUCCCAUGUGUAUCAAGAAUGGUCCACCACCCAAAGGACAUCCAGUCAACUGGACAAUUGAGGGAAGCAUUGGAGUCAACAUGGACCAUUAUCCCUGUGGAACGAUCUGACAACUUUUAGAGUCUACAACAAACUUACCUGUUUAUCCCGCAAGAUCCAGGGUCUGGAAGCUAUGGGUCAGCAGCAGUGCAGCACCCCUGGAGUGAUUGUAGGGGGUUAAGUGCCUUGCUCAAGGGAGAAGAUACGGUCGUUCUCAAAGUGCCUUGCUCAAGGGAGGAGGUACGGUCGUUCUCAAAGUGCCUUGCUCAAGGGAGAAGGUACGGUCGUUCUCAACGUGCCUUGCUCAAGGGAGAAGGUACGGUCGUUCUCAAAGUGCCUUGCUCAAGGGAGAAGGUACGGUCGUUCUCAAAGCGGGACAGACAGACACACUGAUGGAACUUCACAUCCUCUAACUCUACAGACUUAUGCUUCCUGUAUAGGGCAGCAUAGGAGAGGACACUUACGCUUCCUAUAGAGGGCAGCACAGGAGAGGACACUUACUCUUCCUUCCUAGGGCAGCACAGGAGAGGACACUUACGCUUCCUUCCUGUAUAGGGCAGCACAGGAGAGGACACUUACGCUUCCUUCCUGUAUAGGGCAGCACAGGAGAGGACACUUAUGCUUCCUUCCUGUAGAGGGCAGCACAGGAGAGGACACUUACACUUCCUUCCUGUAGAGGGCAGCACAGGAUAGGUGACCACAUAAAAAGGUUCAAAUUUACAUUUUUCAUUGUAACAAGGACAAUAAAGUUGUAAUGUAUUUGUUGGUGAAUAUAACAGUAACACUGAGUUUAGGCUACUUUGAAAGACAACUAGCAGCACUUUAGGGUCUGAAACACUGGUGCUCUGUGUGUGGCUCAACUGGUAGAGCAUGACACUUACAUUGUCAGGGUUGUGGGUUCAAUUCCCACAGGACGCCAGUAUGAAAAUGUAUGCACUCACUACUGUAAGUUGCUCUGGAUCUGCUAAAUGACUGAAAAUGUGAGGGCUGUGUGUGGAGACCAUGAUAGAAUAGCACUGACAUUGUGGGUUAGUUUUGCUUAUUAAAUCUAAUUCUUACUAAACAUG
rnacentral:lncRNA from 1 species